GGAAGCAUAGCUGGUUGCUACCGGACGCGUCCACAGGUUGCGGAUAGUGGAACGCCCAAUAUAUAUAGUGGGCAGCUGCGAAUAAAUAAGCAGUCGCGGACAACUCAGGGGUUCCGGGGGGAGAGUCUCGGAAUAAAUAUCCGAGUGCCCAUGAUCCCUGGUUCGACGAGGCGAACAACUGGCGCCUCGAAUUAUCCAGUGAUCGGUGUUGGUCUACCGAGGAAUAAGACCCCCUAACGCUGGGGUGUUACGUAAACCGUUCAGCAUCAGCGUUUCUCGGUUUGCAGUCAGGGUACCGACUGUAUUCGUACGGUUGCCUCACUGAUACCUGGGCGCCUCAGUGAGUAACAGGCUUAGUUGCCAAGUCCUUGCCAUGGUAGGGAGGCUAUGCCAUGGUGGACCUCGUCUCACCCAAGUCCGACCUUUCACAUGGAGAAAAACAACAAUAACAACAAAAACAAAACCCCACUCUACCAAUGACACCAUUGCUUCCAAGGAAGCAACGACCAAGGACCGGCCACAGGACAUGAUUUCCAAUUCGGGAGGGGACGACAUAAUGAGCUACAGUGACGUUAUCCAUGACAACAUCCAGCAACAAAACGAACAAUUGUCCGCCCUCCUGGAGAAGACAAAAACGCUAAGGCUCAGUCAGGAGAGUACUCCUUCUGGCUUUGGAGAUGACUCACCACUUUCGGAUGAGGAACUGGACAUCACGGUCAUUUCCUCGUCUCAAAGUGGUAAGUCAUCUCAACAAGCCACCAAGAACACUCCCAGCUAGACUUGCGCGGAGUCCAAAAAGCAGGAGGGAAUAACGUCGGUCACUUCCGAUGCCACCAGCCUCGAUCGGCAAGACGCCAUCAUUGUAGGCACUGGCGGGGAUCCUGCCAGAAACCCUACCUCUCGUGAUGGCGCCGACCCAAAAGAGGUGAAAGCAAAGCGGGGAUAUAAAAGGUCGGUAAAUUACGGCAAAGACCCCGCGCAGAUAACGGAGAGAGAGGAUUCUGAUCAAGAUGAACCUCAAGGUAAUUGCUAAGUUCGAACGGAACCACCCGCACUUACCGAGCUGUUCUCUAAACCAGAAUCUUCUACCUCUCCUACAAUCUGCUAUCAGCAGUAGGGUAAACCAACCUGUGGUUCAACCCUCUGCUGAGGGCCCUGCGGUGGUCAGCAAUUCCGCCGCCACUAACAAGACCACCACGAUCGUUGUUCACGAGGUGACGGCUAAUGCUGACACUGCUGGGUCGAAUCCACCUGCCAAAAAGCGCGGAAAAAUAAGGCCAAGAAACCGAAGCCCACUAUAGCCGAAGCCCCUGCAGUUCCACCGGAGGCCGAUACCUCGUCACGCCCAGCGUUGAAAAGUAUGCAGUUCGGCAGUGCAACCCUUUACAAAGGCGUGAAGGUAAUGUGCUGCGAGAACCAGGAAUCUAAGGAUUACCUGGUCACCGCAGUAUCUGGCUUUCGCGAUCUCUGGCAGGGAUGUGAUCUGGCGGCUGUAUCCUUAAAGGACAUCCCCUGCCGUAAGGUAUUGACAGCUUGGGUGCCACCACCAUCCGUGGAUCCGGCACGCAUCCUGACAAUACUGGGCAAGGAGAACCCCAACCUCAAAACGGACAACUGGCGUCUUGUCAGUUCAAACAUUGAGGGAGGGGGCCUGGUCAUCAAGGUAUCUAUGGAUACGGAUGGCCAGGAAUACCUUCAAGCUCGUGGGGGAAAACUGCAUUUCGGCGCUGGAUGGAUCCGUUUCCGUCUAACGCCGUUGCAUUAGGUGGAAGAAAACAGCAGCUACUUAGCAUCAUGCAGAUUAAUCUGCAUCACUGCAAAGCAGCUUCUGCAGAACUCCUCCUAUCCCUCUCGAAAGCUGAAGUAGACAUAGCUCUGGUUCAGGAACCCUAUAUAUACAAUAAUAGGGUAACUGGACUAGGGAGUGGGCAGUACGUCUCUUACGCGGUCUCCAAUGGUGAUAAGGUAAGGACGUGUAUUGUUGCCAAAAAGAGUUUAAACCUUAUCUUCCUUAGCAACAACAGUGGAGGAGACGUUACGGUAGCGAGAUUGGAGUCUAAAUCCGGAAGGGUUCACAUUUUCAUAUCUCUAUAUCUACCGUACGAGCGACCUGACCCACCUGGACAUGAAGUAGAGGAGCUGCUCGAAGAUCUGGCUGACAAAGGGCAUCUAAUCAUAGGUUGUGAUGCCAACGCACACCACUUCCAAUGGGGUAGCAACGAUACCAACGUCAGAGAAAUUUUCAGCGCAUCAUGGAAGCUUUUGGCGCUUAAUUCUGAACGGUAAUUGGAGGCAACUGCCAAUUUUUUACAGGAGAAUCUCGGCUUGUUAGGCAAAAGACAUCAAAAUGGUUUUUGCUGCUAACUCAAACAAGGCCAGUUUCCAUCAGCCAAACAAGAUAAUCACGGGAACAAAUUUAAACACAAAUUGGGCAGCUGUUUAUCCUGGCGGGUUUCCAGAAAUUCCGGGUUUUUGCCAAAAUUGACCACCUCCAGGAAGAAGUCUGGAGGAGCCAAUGUUUCUUGUUCGGGGCUAUAGUUGGCGCGACUUUACUAUUUUGUUCGCACGUACACAUAAAUUAAAUUAUCCAAAACGAACACAAAUAAACACACCACAAUUUGACAUUAAAUUUAACAAAUAUUCCACUGUUACUUUAUUUUGACGAUGGGGCUUAAUUCCCGGACAAAUGGUAUUUUUCCACAACAGAACAAGACGCAUUCACGAAAUUUUCCCCGCUACGCCUUUUUAUAGUUUUUUUUCUCUUUUCACAUUUUUCGCGGAUUUUUCCUCAGUUUAUUCGUUUUUCCUUUGAACCGCACCUACAUAUCCC